CGGUCAAUCCUCCCAGGUCUCCGUCUGGGCGUUUCCUUGCUUCCGUCAGGUGGCUCUUCUGUAUCCUCACCCUCAUCACAUACCACCGCCAGCCUCACCGCCAUCUUCCUCACCGAGACACCGCCACCCACGACCUCCCUUCCGCGCACCUUCGACGAGAUGUCCCGCCAGACGAGGGUCAGUAUGGCGUGUACAAUCAAGUCUCACCCUCGAUUAGAGUACGAACUCCCAGCAGCCCAUGGUGAAGAGGGAUGUGGCGGAGCCAUGAACACCUUCCAACCAAGUGUCUUCGCCAUCACUAGGCACCAAGCAGGGGGCUGGACGGACUGAGGAGAGGGGGGUGGCAGAGUUUGCCCGCUAUCAUGGAGAGGGACCGUUAGCCGAGUUCGAAGCCGAAAAGAAGAACCAUGCGAUUUGGUUGUUCUUGGCAGCGAGUUGGACGAACAAGCGUAUGGGUUUGCGUGCAGGUGGGAAGGAGACACUCUGCGACCGGAUCGACCACAAGCUUCUCAGGAUGAGGGAAGAGGAGUUUCUCUACUAAGGUCAAGGAUCAAAUGGAUGUACAGCGGAUU